AAAAACAAAAAAAAAACCUCUCAACUCUCCCCUCCCUUUCUAUUUCCGUCCAUGGGUCAGGCCGUCAGGCCACCGUGGUGGCCAUUGGUCGUCGGCGACGGCACCACCGUCCACGGUGACCAUAAAAUCGAAAAAAGACCUUUUUUUGGCUUUUCGACUCCCCAAGCCUAAAACCGUCGUUUUUCAUCGGAAACGACGAACCUCGACCUUCCACGGCGGCGCAAAAUAAAAAGUAAGAUAUUCCCCUAUUUUUUACUGUUUUCGGUUGUUCUUUUUAAAAAAAUAAAAAUAAAUAAAUAAAACGAAAUUAAUAGAAAAAAAAACCACCUAUAAAAGAUUUCCUUUUUCUUUUGUUUUUGAUUGAUUCGUUUUUUUUUUGUAUUCGAUUGUCUGUAAAAAUUACAAACUAUUUUCGUGGCUUUUAUAGCCACGAUUACAAUGUUCAUGCUAUUGUUCUAUUACUGUUUCUACCUCUGUUUUUAUUUUGCGUGUUUGCUUUUGUCUUUUUUCUCUUUGUUUGCAGGUGGCGUGAAGGUCAACGGCAGAGAUUCCGACUUUUUGCCAUUUUGGUGCAAGGGAGGCAGAAGGGUGUCAGACAGCACUGGAGGCUCACAUGGGAUUAGGGUUUCAGUUUUUACUGAAACUGAGUUUAGUUUUUAGGCCAACGGGCCGCCUAGGGUUUUUAAUUUUUGGGUUUGGUAAUUGUAAAAUUGGGCCUGAUGGACUUUGGACUAUUGUUAUGUAAAAAUGGAUUGUUUGUUGGGCCUGGGCAAAUUAGGCUUAUUAGAAAUAGGCUCCAAAAAUUGUUGGGCGGAAAAUGAGGUGUUUGAAAAUUGAAAUCUUUUAAUAUUGUUGGGUUGAUGAAUAUUGUUAUUUAAAAAAAAUAAUUUAUGUG
rnacentral:lncRNA from 1 species